ensembl:lncRNA
GGCUGGAGAAGCCAGUGAGCUGCUCGUCAGGGAGGCCCAAAUCAUGUGUGAGCCAUACCAGGUGGAGGAGCCUCAAAGUAACUCCAGGCUGGCAUUAGAAGCCAUUGCUGUUUAGUGUUGCUUGUUCAGUUCUGGUCUGGAGUUUCUUCAUGUUGGUAAUACUAGUUUGCAGAUGAUUACUUUUGGCUGCUAUGGCUGGUUCUACACCUGCAGAAUCAAGAUGACCAAUGGAAAAACUAAAACUUCCAAGGUUCGGAAGUUCGGGUUGGUUCAAUAUGCAUUGGGCAAGAAACCCAGUGGAGACCGUGGUGCCAUGAAAGCAAACAAAAGAGGAGAGGGAGAAGAUGGGCGAGACCUGGGCUCUUUGUCAAGGACGGUCCAGAGAGGUGGUCGAGCAGUUUCAGCCUCCUAUGACGGUGGAAAUUACCAGCAGUCUUUAGUGAUUUGAGUGAACGAGAAGACAACAGGAUCCUGCCUUGGGCUCCCUGGGAGCGGCCAAGCAACUUCAGCCUCCUGUGAAAAUUGAGAGGGAAGACCCUUUCUCAGUACUGCUUUUCAUGUCAUGCUGUGUGAAAAGUCUAAUAAAAUGUUAGAAUGCCUGACUGUUGGUUAACUGCAUCUGCUGCUAAUAUGUACUGAACUAAUCAAGUUUUUAUCUGCGCUUUCCCAGUGUGUAAAAAGAUGCAUCCUUGUGAGUGUUUAAAUAUUUCUUGUUUGCUAAAGUACUGUUGUGCUACCACACAGGAUGAUUCAGAGAACACUACAUGCUCCUGCUUCAGGGGCAAGCAGCUUUAGCCUCCUUUGGAAAUUGCCAAAUGCUCCUGCCAAAUUAGCGAUUUGACUAACGGGUAAGACUUUUUUUUCCCAGUAAUGGUUAUGUAAUGCUUGUCAUGCAGGCUGUGUGACGGGUCUAGAAAAAUGUUUUAAAUGGUAUGAUUGCAUAAUGUACUUGCGGUGCUUCUUGUCUUUGGUUGUAUUUCCUGAACUAUUCGGUUUUAACGAUUUUCCAUUCGCCAAUGUUUUAGGUGAAAGAUUGUGUUAGUGUUUAAGACUGUUCUGAAUAAGUUGCAUGAAGUAGUCUUGUUAUUUCUUGCAAAA